CCCCCCCCCCCCCCCCCCCCCCCCCCCCCCCCCCCCCCCCCCCCCCCCCCCCCCCCCCCCUCCUGCAGUAACCUGCCAGGACCUUCCUGCAGGUGAUCUGCCAGGACCUUCCUGCAGGUGACUCCUGCAGGUGAUCUGCCAGGACCUUCCUGCAGUAACCUGCCAGGACCUUUCUGCAGGUGACUCCUGCAGUAACCUGCCAGGACCUUCCUGCAGUAACCUGCCAGGACCUUCCUGCAGGUGACUCCUGCAAUAACCUGCCAGGACCUUCCUGCAGCCCCCGGGCCCGGGGGGUUCACGGCCGGGGGGAAGAUCUCGGGGGUCUCUGGGGGUCCCAAACCCGGGGUCCCAAAAAAUCCGUCCCUGUGGUUUGUGGGAGAUUCACCGAGUCCCUUCUCUCCCUUCCAGGACCUCAGCGGCACCUUGAGCAGCCUCGGGCAGGAAAAGCCCCCGCUGCUGCCGCCGCCGCUCCCAGAGCUGGGAAUGAGAAUCCGGCGCUUCAGGGAGGAAAAUCUUCCCCUGGAGGAGGCGCUGAGGACAGUCCGAGACCUCCUGGUGUUCGAGCUGCCCGAGAAAAUGUCCGUGACCCUGGACCCCCGCACCGCCCACCCGCAGCUCCGCGUGGCUCCCGACGGGAGCAGCGUCAGCUGGGAACCGAACCGGGACCCUCCCGAACCCGAGGCCGAACCGGGACCCGAACCCGAACCCGAACCCGAACCCGAACCCGAACCCGAACCCGAACCCGAACCCGAACCCGAACCCGAACCCGAACCCGAACCCGAACCCGAACCCGAACCCGAACCCGAACCCGAACCCGAACCCGAACCCGAACCCGAACCCGAACCCGAACCCGAACCCGAACCCGAACCCGAACCCGAACCCGAACCCGAACCCGAACCCGAACCCGAACCCGAACCCGAACCCGAACCCGAACCCGAACCCGAACCCGAACCCGAACCCGAACCCGAACCCGAACCCGAACCCGAACCCGAACCCGAACCCGAACCCGAACCCGAACCCGAACCCGAACCCGAACCCGAACCCGAACCCGAACCCGAACCCGAACCCGAACCCGAACCCGAACCCGAACCCGAACCCGAACCCGAACCCGAACCCGAACCCGAACCCGAACCCGAACCCGAACCCGAACCCGAACCCGAACCCGAACCCGAACCCGAACCCGAACCCGAACCUGAACCCGAACCCGAACCCGAACCCUGCCCCGACCCCUCGGUGCUCGGCCGCGAGGGCGUCACCGCCGGGCAGCGCUGCUGGGACGUGCGGGUGGCACCCGACGGGUCCUGGGCGCUGGGGGUGGCGCUGGAGACCCCCGGGAGUGGGACAGGGACCCCCGGGAGUGGGGAAGGGACCCCCGAGAGUGGGGCAGGGACACUCGGGAAUGGGGCAGGGAUCACUGAAACCGGGACAGGGAGCCCCGGGAUCGGGACAGGGAUCCCCGGAACCGGUCCCCCCCCCCCCCCCCGGGAUCGGGACAGGGACCCCCGGAACCGGUUCAGAGACCCCCGGGAAUGGGGUAGGCACCCCCGGGAGCGGGCCAGGGACCCCCGGGAGCCCCGGGUGGGAGCUCUGGUCCAUGGGGCUCUGCCAGGGCCAGUUCUGGGCUCUCACCUCCCAGGAGCGCAUCCCGCUGUUCCCGGCCCGCGCCCCCGGCACCGUGCGGGUGGCCCUGGACUACGAGCGGGGCCAGGUGGCUUUUUUCGAUGCGGACCAGAGGAGCCUCAUCUUCGCCUUCCCGGCGGCCGCGUUCCAGGGGCGGAGAGCCCGGCCCUGGUUCCUGGUGUGGGGCGAGGGCUCGCGGCUCGCGCUGUGCCCCUGAGCCCCCCAAAUCGGGGGGUUUCACUCGUUCCCGGCGCCCCAAGGACCCGCUAUCCCGAGCUGUCACCCCCAAAUCGGGGGGUUUCACCCAUUCCCGGAGCCCCAAGGACCCGCGCCCGAGCUGUCACCCCAAAUCGGGGGGGCUUCACUCGUUCCCGAGCUGUCACCCCAAAUCUGGGGGUUUCACCCAUUCCCGAGCUGUCACCCCAAAUCGGGGGGGUUUCACCCAUUCCUGGCGCCCCCAGGGACUGGUGCCCGCUGUCCCCAACUGUCACCCCAAAUCUGGGGGGUUUCACCCAUUCCCGAGCUGUCACCCCAAAUCUGGGGGCCGGCGUCUGUCCCGCCCCGUCCUGCGCCGCCCCAACCCCUUUCCUCGCCUCUCCUCCGACUUUGGAUGAUGUAAAAACCCAAGUUUUACUUGUUUUACCUUCUUCUCUGUCUGAUCUUUGCUGCUCCUGGAUGUCGAGACCGAGCUGGAAUUUUGUUUAAUCAACCCCCAUUUUGUUUGAUUGAUUAAACCCCAUUUUGUUUGAUCAAACCCCAUUUUGUUUAAUCCAGCCCACAACAUUUUAUUAGUUAUUAUUAACGAGAUAAAUCGCAGAACCCACAGACCCAGUCGCCUUUUCCGGGGAGAAAACGGCGGCUUUAGGGAGAUUCCACCCAUUGGGGGCUGGGGAAAGGCUGAAAAAACAUGAAAAAAUGUGAAAAAACGUGGAAAAAAAUGUGGAAGGAAGUGAAUUGGAGCCCUUGGUUUGGAAGUGGGCAGCUCGGAUGGGAUCAUGGGGUCAUUUGCCUUUCCAUCCUGUUUUUUCCCGUUUUCCAGUUGUCAUUUUUCAGGGAGAAUUUCAGGGAGAAUUUCAGGGACACCCGUCAUUUUUCAGAGAGAAUUUCAGGGACAAUUUCAGGGACACCCGGGACACCUUCAGGAGCCCUUUUCAGGGACACUUUUGGGACACCAGGGACACUUUCAGGGACACCUUUGGGACACCAGGGACACUUUCAGGACACUUUUAGGGACACCCGGGACACUUUCAGGGGCCCUUUUCAGGGACAUUUUUUCAGGGACAGUUUUAGGGACUCUUUCCAGGGACCCAGGACAGCAGGGACAGUUUUAGGGACAUAGGACAGCAGGGACAUUUUUCAGGGACACUUUUCAGGGGCACCAGGGACACUUUUGGGACACUUUCAGGGAGAUCUUUGACUCUCAGGGACACUUUUCAGGGGCACCAGGGACACUUUUGGGACACUUUCAGGGUCCCCCCCCCCCCCCCCCCCCCCCCCCCCCCCCCCCCCCCCCCCCCCCCCCCCCCCCCCCCCCCCCCCCCCCCCCCCCCCCCCCCCCCCCCCCCCCCCCC
rnacentral:lncRNA from 12 species